GGAUAUGUUUUAGGAUUUUGAAUUUGGGGGCACAAUUAUUAUAUUUGAUGUUUUAAUAUUUGUUAUUAGUGUUAGAUUAACGUUUUACAUAUUAUUUAUUGUAUUAUCUUUUAAUGUUUAUGAUUAAAUAUUAGAAAAUUAGAGUUUAGGGUAUGAGUAGGGUUUAAAUUUUCCACAAAUAGCCACAAACUAUAUUGUGUCUAUAUAUAUAUUUCUAUGAUUAUUUUUGUGGCUGAUAGUAGAUGUUGAUUUCCACAAUAUUUUAUGUGGCUAAUUGUGACUUAUUUUCUUCGGAUAGCUACAAAAUGUAAUUUGCAGCUAAUUAGCAACAUAUAUCUACAGAAUAGCUACGAAUUUUGGUUUUUAAAAACUGUUGCUAAUUUUGUGGCUUUUUGUGGCUUGAAAAAUAUAGUCACAAAAUUUUUGUAGCUAAUUCGUAGCUAUAUACAUAUUUUCUUGUAGUGAUAUUACUAAAGAUCUCUUCCAAUUAUCGAUGUGGGACCUUUGCCCCUAAUACGCCCCCUCGAGAUGAUUGCUCUUUAAGCGUCAAUCUCGGAAUGUUCGGGCAAGGAUCGAGGGCCAACUUUGGACCGGAUCGAUGUGAAUCAGGUUGGACUGCGUGGAUCGGGCUCUGAUACCAUGUUAAGCUAGAUGGACUGUCAUCACAUUAGGCUUUAUGAUGGCUUUACAAAUUUACAAUUCUAUUUGAGUUUGGUGUUUUUACGCAUUAUUAUACAUUGACAGUUCAUUUAGAUAAUCCGAGCUUUAUAAUUCGAGAAGUAAAUAAUUUAUUUUGCAUCUACUUCAUAUGUCAACACAUCGAAAUAUUUGGAAAAUAUUACCAAGUCAAAAUUCAAAUGUUUGAUUACUGAACAAUGAUCACAACUCUAUUUAGUAAAAGAAAUUCCUAAAUUAAAGAAAUUCCACUUAGUUCAGAGGGAGGAAGGACACAUAUAUAAAACUCUAAUCUCAAUUUAACAUUUUAUCAAAAGAAAAAAAAAAUACUCCAAUCUCAGUGCAUUUGCUGCAUAAUUAUUUGCAACUUGCAAGUCACCUUUGCACUUAGAAAGAGGUAAAUGAAAAAAAUAAACUCCUUUUCCAAUAGAAAAAGAAAAAAUAACGUGAAAUUGCAUGUUUACCACUUUCUUGCUACCACUUUUCAUUUUUACCACUUUUAAAGGAACAUUUUCAAAAAUACAUUCUUCAUUAAGUGGCAAAAGACUUUUAUGCUCUUGUUCUUUAUAUAUAUAUUAAAUAAAUAUUUUAAAAAAUAAAAAUCUAAAAAAAUAAAAAUAAUUUUUUUAAUUUUCUUUCUAAUUAUACUAUUUCGAAAUUAAAACCUUAAACCUUAAAACUCAACUCUAAACCCUAAACCAUCAAUCCUAAACCCUAUUUUUUUUUGAAAUACGAACCAUAAACCCUAAACCAUCAAUCGUAAACCCAAUUUUUUUUUAAAUACGAACCCUAAACCCUGAAACAUCAACUCUAAACCCUAAACCCCGAAACAUCAACUCUAAACCCUAAACCCCGAAACAUCAACUCUAAACCCUAAACCCCGAAACAUCAACUCUAAACCCUAAACCCCGAAACAUCAACUCUAAACCCUAAACCUUCAAUUCUAAACCCUAAAACAUCAACUCUAAACCGUAAACCGUAAACUUCAACUCUAAACCCUAAACCAUCAACACUAAAUCCUAAACUAUCAACACUAAACCCUAAACCCUAAAAAGUAAACUCUAAACCCUAAACCCUAAAAAAUAACCCUAAACCCUAAAACAGCAACUCUAAACCCUAAACCCUAAACCUUCAACUCUAAACCCUAAAUCCUAAACCCUAAAACCCUAGAGUUGAUGUUUUAGGGUUUAGAUUUGAAGGUUUAGGGUUUUAAGGUUAAGGGCUUACGUUUAGGGUUUAGAGUUGAUGUUUUACGGUUUAGAUUUGAAGGUUUAGGGUUUUAGGGUUUAGGGUUCGAAUUUCAGAAAAAUAUAGGGUUUAGGGUUUACGUUUAGGGUUUAGAGUUGAUGUUUUAGGGUUUAGAUUUGAAGGUUUAGGGUUUAGAGUUGAUGUUUCGGGGUUUAAGGUUUAGAGUUGAUGUUUCAUGGUUUAGGGUUUAGAGUUGAUGAUUCAGGGUUUAGAGUUGAUGUUUUAAGUUUAGAUUAAUUUAGGGUUUAGAGUUGAUAUUUCAGGGUUUAGGAUUUAGAGUUGAUGUUUCAUGGUUUAGGGUUUAGAGUUGAUGAUUUAGGGUUUAAAGUUGAUGUUUUAAGUUUAGAUUUAGGGUUUAGGGUUUUCGUUUAGGGUUUAGAGUUGAUGUUUUAGGGUUUAGAUUUGAAGGUUUAGGGUUUAGAGUUGAUGUUUCGGGGUUUAAGGUUUAGAGUUGAUGUUUCAUGGUUUAGGGUUUAGAGUUGAUGAUUCAGGGUUUAGAGUUGAUGUUUUAAGUUUAGAUUAGUUAACCAUAUGUUUUUUUUGUCAAAGUUAAUCAAAAGGUUAUAAAUGUCUUUCACCCUUCAUUAAAGAUUGAGGUAAAAGUGAUUAGUGUAAACAUGAAAAACGAUACUUUGAAAAUAGUAUUUUUGGCAAUUUCCCAAAAAAUAACUAACUAAAAUGUAAAACUCCUUAUCAAUCAAGAAAAAAAUAAAUUCAAUAAAAAGAUAAGUUGAAAUAGGGGGAGAAGAGCUGAAGAGGUAAGGCUCGAAGCUUAAAGUGAUGUUUCCGUAUCAAUCUCAAUCUCAAUCUCUCUCCACACCUCCAACGCCAUUUGAACUUUAACAAAACCUAACUUUUUCUUCAUGCUUAUAAAUACACAUACCUCCCACUUCUUCACUUUCAUAUUACAAAAGCCCCCUUAAUUAAAAACAGCAAAU
rnacentral:lncRNA from 1 species